GACGAACGCUGGCGGCGUGCUUAACACAUGCAAGUCGAGGGGGCGGGGCAGCAAUGCCGUGUCACCGGCGAACGGGUGCGUAACACGUGAGCGACCUGCCCAACUGCGGGGGAUAGCCGGCCCAACGGCCGGGUAAUACCGCAUACGACCCUUGAGGGGCAUCUCUUGGGGGUGAAACCGAUUCAGGGCGGUUGGAGGGGCUCGCGGCCUAUCAGCUAGUUGGUGCGGUCAUGGCGCACCAAGGCGACGACGGGUAGCUGGUCUGAGAGGAUGGCCAGCCACAUUGGGACUGAGAAACGGCCCAGACUCCUACGGGAGGCAGCAGUGGGGAAUCUUGCGCAAUGGCCGAAAGGCUGACGCAGCGACGCCGCGUGAGGGAUGAAGGUCUUCGGAUCGUAAACCUCUGUUGCCCGGGACGAACAGCCUG
rnacentral:rRNA from 1 species